rnacentral:rRNA from 1 species
GUAGGGAAUCUUCCACAAUGGACGAAAGUCUGAUGGAGCAACGCCGCGUGAGUGAAGAAGGUCUUCGGAUCGUAAAACUCUGUUGUUAGAGAAGAACGUGCAUGAUAGUAACUGAUCAUGUAAUGACGGUAUCUAACCAGAAAGCCACGGCUAACUACGUGCCAGCAGCCGCGGUAAUACGUAGGUGGCAAGCGUUGUCCGGAUUUAUUGGGCGUAAAGGGAACGCAGGCGGUUUUUUAAGUCUGAUGUGAAAGCCUUCGGCUUAACCGAAGAAUAGCAUUGGAAACUGGAAGACUUGAGUGCAGAAGAGGAGAGUGGAAUUCCAUGUGUAGCGGUGAAAUGCGUAGAUAUAUGGAGGAACACCAGUGGCGAAGGCGGCUCACUGGCUCGAUACUGACGCUGAGGUGCGAAAGCGUGGGGAGCAAACAGGAUUAGAAACCCCUGUAGUCC